UUCGCAAUGCCCGAAAGGGUGACGAAGCGACGCUGCGUGUGGGAAGAAGGCCUUCGGGUUGUAAACCACUGUUGGGAGUUAGGAAGUGUGGAGGUGUUAAUAGCGCUUUCACUUGACUAAAGCUCCAGAGGAAGCCACGGCUAACUCUGUGCCAGCAGCCGCGGUAAUACAGAGGCGGCAAGCGUUGUUCGGAAUUAUUGGGCGUAAAGAGCACGUAGGCGGCUCUGCAAGUCAGCUGUGAAAGCCUUCUGCUUAACGGAAGAACGGCAGUUGAAACUACAGGGCUUGAGUGCGGGAGGGGAGAGUGGAACUUCUGGUGGAGCGGUGAAAUGCGUAGAUAUCAGAAGGAACGCCGGCGGCGAAAGCGGCUCUCUGGUCCGUAACUGACGCUGAGUGUGCGAAAGCUAGGGGAGCAAACGGGAUUAGAUACCCCGGUAGUCCUAGCCGUAAACGAUGGGCACUAAGUAGAGGGGUUUU
rnacentral:rRNA from 1 species